rnacentral:lncRNA from 1 species
AGGCUACUGCAAACCUGCAUAUGCCUGUAACAUGCAUUGAAGAAAAGUGCAUACAAUGUUUUUGUUUUAAUUUUACUUAUAUGUUACAGUGCUUUGAGGUUUGUAUGCAAUAGGUGCAGGGUCUUGAUUGCCAGUUACUGAUUUUUGGUGCACCCCAUCACCUUGGCUCCGCUUGUGAAGCAGGUACAAUGCCUAUUUUUGGUUGUCUACAUGUUUUCCAAUCAAACAUUUCUAUUAUCAUGGGGUUCUCGUUUGUGGCAUUAACCAAUAUCCACUUUUUAGGAUUUCAAUUGGAAAUGUGAUUGGUGCAAUACAUCUGUCGACAUAUUUCAUACAUAAGAUUUAUCCUUGACAUUACCAGAAGCAAGGUGAAUUCCUUCAACACUGCAUUUGCCGUUUACACUUAAUAAUGAUCUGCAUGUGCUAAGCAUUCCAAGUAUGGAUAUUUUCAACAUCCAAAUCAACCAUGUUUACCUCAGCCAACAUGUAAGACAGGUAAGCC